GACGAACGCUGGCGGCGUGCUUAACACAUGCAAGUCGAGCGGAAAGGCCCUUCGGGGUACUCGAGCGGCGAACGGGUGAGUAACACGUGAGUAACCUGCCCCAGACUUUGGGAUAACCCUCGGAAACGGGGGCUAAUACCGGAUACGACACAGCUUCGCAUGGGGUCUGUGUGGAAAGUUUUUCGGUUUGGGAUGGGCUCGCGGCCUAUCAGCUUGUUGGUGGGGUGAUGGCCUACCAAGGCGACGACGGGUAGCCGGCCUGAGAGGGCGACCGGCCACACUGGGACUGAGACACGGCCCAGACUCCUACGGGAGGCAGCAGUGGGGAAUAUUGCACAAUGGGCGGAAGCCUGAUGCAGCGACGCCGCGUGAGGGAUGACGGCCUUCGGGUUGUAAACCUCUUUCAGCAGGGACGAAGCGUAAGUGACGGUACCUGCAGAAGAAGCGCCGGACAACUACGU
rnacentral:rRNA from 1 species